AGUAAAUUGACAAAAAUCGUGAAUAAAAGAGUAUGAAUUGUUUAUGUUACUAAUUUUAUCAAUUAAUUAUUGAGUAGCAUCGUCUUAAUAUGUUGAAUGAUUCAAUUAGUGUUUCUAAAUUAUAAAUGUUAGAAUAAUAUUAUUUUAUUUUUAGACAAUUUAGAGUAUUUUGGUGCAAACUAAUAAUACCACUCAAAAUGGAUUAAAGUAAAAAAAAAUUAAUAGAAUAAUUAUUUUAUGCGAAAAAAUUGUAAUAAUUAAUAAAAAAUAAUCUGUUAAUACAUAAGUACUUAACUGUUUAGAUGUUUAGUGUAGUUUUUGUAUUCUUUGAUCGGUUCUCGCAAUCGGGUUUUAUCAACCGAUUGCAUACAUGAAAAUGACGACGACGAAUGUAAACCUAAUGUAUACUUCUACAAGCACUUAAAUAAUUUUCUAUGAUUGGUUUUCUUUCGUGACACGGAUGACACCGUAUUAUUUACUUAUACAAUAAUCAACGGAAAGUUUGGACCACGAAGGUUUGGCUAAUAACAAAUUAUGUGGUCAGAUGCUACUGUAGUUCCAUAAGAGGAUUGUUGAUUCGGGAUAAGUGACUGAGCGAAGCAGUUAUAUUAAUUUAACGAAUGGUUUUGAACUUUUAUUUGUACAGUACCGCCAAUAAGUGAAAAAAAAUAUAUUAAAUAAAAACAUGUAAACAAAAAUGCACAAUAAAAGGCGAAUAGAAAAUGUGUUGUGGGCACAAGAAAAAAAGAGAAAAAAAAUGAAACUGCAACUAUAUACUGGCGUCACCAAGACGGGUGUAAUCCAUUCAAAUGGCCACACUAUCGACUAGCAAAAAAAAUAUAUUGGUUUGUUUUUUCCUUAAACAGAGACGCGAAAGAAGAAAACAUUUUCCGGAAGUUGACAAAGAGGAAAUGUCAUGAUGAAAAAUGCGAAUCGAAUCCAAAUAAAAAACUUAUGCUGAUCCUGACUUUUGCAUUGUGUGUUAUCAUGACGGUAGCUAGAAGAUUCGUAGAAAUGAAAUAAAGACUAAAUUGGACUAUUGAAA